AUUGAACGCUGGCGGCAUGCUUUACACAUGCAAGUCGAACGGUAACAGGCCUUCGGGUGCUUACGAGUGGCGAACGGGUGAGUAAUGCAUCGGAACGUGCCCAGAGGUGGGGGAUAACGCAGCGAAAGCUGUGCUAAUACCGCAUGUGAUCUGAGGAUGAAAGCGGGGGACCAGGCAGCAAUGUUUGGCCUCGCGCCUUUGGAGCGGCCGAUGUCAGAUUAGGUAGUUGGUGGGGUAAAGGCCUACCAAGCCGACGAUCUGUAGCUGGUCUGAGAGGACGAACAACCAAACCGGGAAUGGGACAAGGGCCCAGCUCCCAAGGGAGGGAAGCGGUGGGAAAUUUUGGCAAAGGGGGGAAAGCUUACUCAGGAAAGGCGGGGGGGGGAAAAAAGGCUUUGGGGUGGAAAACCCUUUUUGUAGGGAAGAAAAAGGGUCGGGGUAACACUUGGGGGCGAUGCGGGUACCAAAAAAAAAAGCACCGGUAAAUACCGG
rnacentral:rRNA from 1 species